CAGUCGCCGCGGUAAUACAGAGGGUGCGAGCGUUAAUCGGAUUUACUGGGCGUAAAGCGUGCGUAGGCGGCUUCUUAAGUCGGAUGUGAAAUCCCUGAGCUUAACUUAGGAAUUGCAUUCGAUACUGGGAAGCUAGAGUAUGGGAGAGGAUGGUAGAAUUCCAGGUGUAGCGGUGAAAUGCGUAGAGAUCUGGAGGAAUACCGAUGGCGAAGGCAGCCAUCUGGCCUAAUACUGACGCUGAGGUACGAAAGCAUGGGGAGCAAACAGGAUUAGAUACCCCUGUAGUCCCUGUAUCUUAUAC
rnacentral:rRNA from 1 species